rfam:Citrus clementina cultivar Clemenules unplaced genomic scaffold scaffold_3, whole genome shotgun sequence.
AUACCGUGAUGAGGACAUCCUCUGAGUAAUUCUUUGAAUCUUUCCUAUACAUCAUACAAGCUUUCAUCUUCAAGUUAAUGGAAAGAUGUGAUCUCAUUCCUCAAUUU